rnacentral:rRNA from 1 species
GAUGAACGCUGGCGGCGUGCCUAAUACAUGCAAGUCGAGCGAACAGACGAGGAGCUUGCUCCUCUGACGUUAGCGGCGGACGGGUGAGUAACACGUGGAUAACCUACCUAUAAGACUGGGAUAACUUCGGGAAACCGGAGCUAAUACCGUAUAACAUGUUGAACCGCAUGGUUCAACAGUGAAAGACGGUCUUGCUGUCACUUAUAGAUGGAUCCGCGCCGCAUUAGCUAGUUGGUAAGGUAACGGCUUACCAAGGCAACGAUGCGUAGCCGACCUGAGAGGGUGAUCGGCCACACUGGGACUGAGACACGGUCCAGACUCCUACGGGAGGCAGCAGUAGGGAAUCUUCCGCAAUGGGCGAAAGCCUGACGGAGCAACGCCGCGUGAGUGAAGAAGGUCUUCGGAUCGUAAAACUCUGUUAUUAGGGAAGAACAAAUGUGUAAGUAACUAUGCACGUCUUGACGGUACCUAAUCAGAAAGCCACGGCUAACUACGUG